rnacentral:rRNA from 1 species
UGGCGAACGGGUGAGUAACGCGUGAGGAACCUGCCUCAAAGAGGGGGACAACAGUUGGAAACGACUGCUAAUACCGCAUAAGCCCACGGCUCGGCAUCGAGCAGAGGGAAAAGGAGCAAUCCGCUUUGAGACGGCCUCGCGUCCGAUUAGCUAGUUGGUGAGGUAAUGGCCCACCAAGGCAACGAUCGGUAGCCGGACUGAGAGGUUGAACGGCCACAUUGGGACUGAGACACGGCCCAGACUCCUACGGGAGGCAGCAUG